rnacentral:lncRNA from 1 species
UGGUAGAAUAUACAAUACAGUAUAUUAUUUUUAAUUUUAGCAAUUAAAAGCAACGAAAUGUUGCGGAAAUAAUUGAGAAAGUAAAACUAUCGCGUUCUAGUCGAUUCGUUGCAAUAAUUCAGAAAUUAAGAAAUAUAUAUGAAUCAUAUCUGUUAACUGUAUAUAUAUAAGACCUGCAAGACACAAUAGACAUUAACCUAUAGUCGACCAUGUGAGAAGGUGCCUAGACGGACAUGCAAACGAUCAGUGAAUGAGAUGCAAUGUACGACACAAAAAAUAUAUUUCCAUAAGAGUUCGUGCAACUUAUAUAUUGAUAGGUUAUACCUUCAGUUCAUACAUAGACGAAUGCGUGUGGUAUCCAGUAGAACUAAAGGACAAUAAAUUCAAUAUAGUUACCGCGUUUCUGGUAUUCACUGCAUAUAUUUAGAAUAUUAAGCGACAACUAUAUAAUUGUGAAUUAUGCAUUUUGACACAAGUUUUCCUGGUGUGGUAAAUCAAUGCUCAUAUUUUCCCAAUGUCAUACCUAACACUGACCAAUACACUAAGACUGUGAUAAUAUCCUCAGUUAUGGGAUAUAAUACAAACCAAUGAAAUGGACUUGAAAGAACGUGUGUUGCUUAGUAUUCCAACCUACUUCAGACAAUAUUUAGCGCGAUAAUUUUAAAAUACUUCACGGUGUACCAUUUUCACCCUAGAAAAGGUUAUAUAUAUAUAUAUAUUCUUAUAUGUUCACGCUGUACCAUGGUACACCGUCAAUGCGCAUGCGCUAUUAUACGACAAUAACAAAAUCGGAUUAGUCAUUUAGUGCGGCGGUCACGCAAUAUAUUUCCACUCAACAGCUAAGC